rnacentral:rRNA from 1 species
GCCGCGGUAAUUCCAGCUCCAAUAGCGUAUACUAAAGUUGUUGCAGUUAAAAAGCUCGUAGUUGAAUUUCUGGUCUCGGACAUCGGUCUGCCUCGAACGAGGUACGUACCAGUUGUCUGAAUCCAUCCUCGGGGAAAACGUAUCUGUCAUUCAGUUGAUGGGUACGGGAUCCUCGUCAUUUACUGUGAGCAAAAUAGAGUGUUCAAAGCAGGCUUAUGCCGUUGAAUACAUUAGCAUGGAAUAAUAAGAUAAGACCUUGGUCUAUUUUGUUGGUUUGUACUCCAAGGUAAUGAUUAAUAGGGAUAGUUGGGGGUAUUCGUAUUCAAUUGUCAGAGGUGAAAUUCUUGGAU